UUAGGGCUCCCGUCGGGCAGCUCUAUAUAAGGGGGAGGCGCGGGCCUAUCGGCCCCUUUUUCUCGGCGAGCCGCACAGGGACGGGGGUGGAAAUGUGAAUACUGCACAUGCAAGAGGUUUUCUCCUAGAGCUGAGAACAAUCAAAAGAUACCAUGGUCCAAGAAGUCUGCAUCCUAGGAAUGAGUUGCUUUGGAGGAGGACAGCACUAAUUUCCUUUGAAAUUGUGUAACAUAAGUGCUGUUGAAGAGCCACAAUCAGAGGUGUCAAACCAGACGUGCUUGAGGAGCAGUAUGAUGUACCUUCCUGGGCUACAGAAGCAGGGCUGGCCUUACCAUGAGAGUUCAGAGUGGGGGAGGAACCUUGACAGCAUCAGAGACAGUGUUGACACGUGAUGACAUUCGCGAUAUUGAUGUGAGUGAUUUAGGUGAUGAACUGAAAGCCCUUUCAAGAUACAUUUCAGCUGGAUCAACUCCAAAGGCUGUUCUGGAAUAUAUGUGCACAAAUAAGAUGACCACCCUCUUUCCAAAUGUUUUUGUUGCUCUGCGCAUACUUCUAACACUUCCUGUAACAGUUGUCCGUGGAGAACACAGCUUCUCCAAGUUGAAGUUAAUAAAAUCACAUCUACGCUCCACAGUGACACAGGAGAGGCUGGUUGGCCUUGCAACCAUCUCAGUAGAGCAUGAGCUCGCCCAGACUGUGGACCUUCAGGAAGCAGUUCAAAUCUUUGCAACCAAGAAGGCACGGAAAGCACCACUUUGAUUAUUCAAAAGAUAAAAAUGCCAGUGUUCACUAUGCAGACAAGAAAAGUUACAUUUGCUGUUCAGGUGUUUGAAAGUUGUGUUACUUAAAAUUUUUGAACAAGGCAUUUUAAGUUGUUAGUUCUCCUUUAUUGGGGGUAGGUAGCAGAGCAGUAACAUGAGAGGAGUAGAACAGGAAGAAGGCAGAAUGGAGACAUUUCAAAGGUUUGGCCCAAGCAAGGGGGAAUGGGGGCGUCAUUUGAGCUCCCCGCCUCGGGUGCCAAAAUGUUGCGUGCCAGCCCUGUACUGAAGUAUUGCAGUGUCUAGCACAGCAUUUUGAGGAAUGCAUUUAUUUAAAGUUCUUAUUCUAAUAUGCUGGUGCACUUUGU